UACGUAGGGUGCAAGCGUUAAUCGGAAUUACUGGGCGUAAAGCGUGCGCAGGCGGUUGUGUAAGACAGAUGUGAAAUCCCCGGGCUCAACCUGGGAACUGCAUUUGUGACUGCACAGCUGGAGUGCGGCAGAGGGGGAUGGAAUUCCGCGUGUAGCAGUGAAAUGCGUAGAUAUGCGGAGGAACGCCGAUGGCGAAGGCAAUCCCCUGGGCCUGCACUGACGCUCAUGCACGAAAGCGUGGGGAGCAAACAGG
rnacentral:rRNA from 1 species